ACCUCGUGCCCCAGCAGGUAAACUAACAUGGAUUUUUCCAAGCUACCCCAAAUACUCGAAGAUAAAGAAAGCACAUUUGGUUAUGUGCAUGGGGUCUCAGGACCUGUGGUUACAGCCUGUGACAUGGUGGGUGCAGCCAUGUAUGAGCUGGUGAGAGUGGGCCACAGCAAGUUGGUUGGAGAGAUUAUUCGAUUGGAGGGUGACAUGGCUACUAUUCAGGUGUAUUAAGAAACUUCUGGUGUUUCUGUUGGAGAUCCUGUACUUCGCACUGGUAAACCCCUCUCUGUAGAGCUCAGUCCUGGCAUUAUGGGAGCCAUUUUUGAUGGUAUUCAAAGACCUUUGUCGGAUAUCAGCAGUCAGACCCAAAGCAUCUACAUCCCCAGAGGAGUAAACGUGUCUGCUCUUAGCAGAGAUAUCAAAUGGAACUUUACACCUUGCAAAAACCUACGGGUUGGUAGUCAUAUCACUGGUGGAGACAUUUAUGGAAUUGUCAAUGAGAACUCGCUUAUCAAACACAAAAUCAUGUUACCCCCACAAAAUAGAGGAACUGUAACUUAUAUUGCUCCACCUGGGAAUUAUGAUACCUCUGAUGUUGUCUUGGAGCUUGAAUUUGAAGGUGUAAAGGAGAAGUUCACCAUGGUGCAAGUAUGGCCUGUAUGUCAAGUUCUAUCUGUCACUGAGAAGGUGCCAGCCAAUCAUCCUCUGUUGACUGGCCAGAGAGUCCUUGAUGCCCUUUUUCCGUGUGUCCAGGGAGGAACUACUGCUAUCCCGGGAGCCUUUGGCUGUGGAAAGACAGUGAUAUCACAGUCUGUAUCCAAGUAUUCUAACAGUGAUGUAUAAUCUAUGUAGGAUGUGGUGAAAGAGGAAAUGAGAUGUCUGAAGUCCUCCAGGACUUCCCAGAGCUCACAAUGGAGGUUGAUGGUAAGUAAGGUAGAGUCAAUUAGGAAGAGGACAGCUUUGGUAGCCAAUACCUCCAAUAUGCCUGUUGCUGCUACAAAAACCUCUAUUAAUACUGGAAUCACACUGUCAGAAUACUUCUGUGACAUGGGCUAUCAUGUCAGUAUGAUGGCUGACACUACCUCUAGAUGGGCUGAGGCCCUUAGAGAAAUCUCUGGUUGUUUAGCUGAAAUGCCUGCAGAUAGUGGAUAUCUAGCCUAUUUUGGUGCCCAUCUGGCCUCUUUUUAUGAAUGAGCAGGCAGGGUGAAAUGUCUUGGAAAUCCUGAAAGAGAAGGGAGUGUCAGCAUUGUAGGAGCAGUUUCUCCACCUGGUGGUGAUUUUUCUGAUCCAGUUACAUCUGCCACUCUUGGUAUCGUUCAGGUGUUCUGGGGCUUAGAUAAGAAACUAGCUCAACGUAAGCAUUUCCCCUCUGUCAAUUGGCUCAUCAGCUACACCAAGUAUAUGCGUGCCUUGGAUGAAUACUAUGACAAACACUUCACAGAGUUUGUCCCACUGAGGACCAAAGCUAAGGAUAUUCUGCAGGAAGAAGACCUGGCAGAAAUUGUACACCUUGUCGGAAAGGCGUCUUUGGCAGAAACAGAUAAAAUCACUCUGGAGGUAACAAAACUUAUCAAAGAUGAUUUCCUACGACAAAAUGGAUACACUCCUUAUGACAGGUUCUGUCCAUUCUACCAGACAGUAGGGAUGCUGUCCAACAUGACUGCAUUUUAUAUAUGGCUCGUAGAGCUGUUGAAACCACUGCCCAGAGUGACAAUAAAAUCACAUGGUCUAUUGUUCAUGAGCACAUAGGAGACAUCCUCUAUAAACUUUCCUCCAUGAAAUUCAAGGAUCCACUGAAAGAUGGUGAGGCAAAGAUCAAGAGCGACUAUGCACAACUUCUUGAAGAUUUGCAGAAUGCAUUCCAUAGCCUUGAGGAUUAGAAGCCUUGAAGAUUAGAACUGUGAUUUCCUUUUCCUCAACAAGCUCCUAUGUGUAUAUUUUCCUGAAUUUCUCAUCUCAAACCUUUUGCUUCUUCAUUGUGCAGCUUUGAGACUAGUGCCUAUGUGUGUUGUUUGUUUCCCUGUUUUUUUUGGUAGGUCUUAUAUAAAACUAACAUUCCUUAGUUUUAGUGUUGUGAAGGGCCUCCCUCUUCCUUUAUCUGAAGUGUUGAAUAUAGUAAAUAUAUAUUGUGGUUGCACUACUGUAAACUUGUAUGUAGGGUGAUGACCCUCUUUGUCCUAGGUGUGCCCUUUCCUUAUCUCUAUUAAAUUGUAAAUAGGACUACUGCAUGUACUCUCUUUGCAGUGAAUUUGAAAUGGAAGGCCAGGUUUCUAUAACUUUUGAACAGGUACUUUGUGAAAUGACUCAAUAUCUAUUGUGGUAAGCUCAUUGGCAGCUUAGCAUUUUGCAGAGGAAUUGUUUUGCAGGAAAUAUUUAAUUUUCAAAAACAUAAUGAUUAAUGUUCCAAUUAUGCAUCGCUUCCCCCAGUAUAAAUCAGGAAUAUUUGUGAGAAACUAUUGGGGACUUUAUUUUUAUCUUUUAUUUAUUUUAUUUUAUUUUUUUUGAGAUGGAGUUUCACUUUUGUUGCC